rnacentral:snoRNA from 1 species
GGGCUGUGUUCAGAGCAGGGGGCCUGAAGAAUGGCUCUUCUAUUUACAACACACCCAACAGGAAUCUCGAGUCACUGUGAUAAGGGACACAAAACUUGUGGCCUUCCUAUGAACAAAUGCGCUACAUGU